rnacentral:rRNA from 1 species
GACGAACGCUGGCGGCGUGCUUAACACAUGCAAGUCGAACGAUGAACCCGGAGCUUGCUCCGGCGGAUUAGUGGCGAACGGGUGAGUAACACGUGCGUAACCUGCCCUUGACUCUGGGAUAACUGCUAGAAAUGGUAGCUAAUACCGGAUACGACCCUCGGUGGCAUCACCAGGGGGUGGAAAGAAUUUCGGUCAAGGAUGGACUCGCGGCCUAUCAGCUAGUGGGUGAGGUAACGGCUCACCAAGGCGACGACGGGUAGCCGGCCUGAGAGGGGGGCCGGCCACACUGGGACUGAGACACGGCCCAGGCUCCUACGGGAGGCGGCAGGGGGGAAUAUUGCACAAUGGGCGCGAGCCUGAUGCAGCAACGCCGCGUGAGGGAUGACGGCCUUCGGGUUGUGACCUCUUUUAGUAGGGAAGAAGCGAAAGUGACGGUACCUGCAGAAAAAGCACCGGCUAACUACGUGCCAGCCGCCGCCGUAAAAC